GAAAUGCGAUAAGUAGUGUGAAUUGCAGAAUUCAGUGAAUCAUCGAAUCUUUGAACGCACAUUGCGCCCCUUGGUAUUCCAUGGGGCAUGCCUGUUCGAGCGUCAUUUGUACCCUCAAGCUCUGCUUGGUGUUGGGUGUUUGUCCCCGUCUCCGCGCGUGGACUCGCCCCAAAGUGAUUGGCAGCCGGCGUACUGGUCCCGGAGCGCAGCACAUGUCGCGCAAACGAGUGCCUUGGUACGGCGGCGUCCAUAAGCCCCUCUCUCCCGCUCUUGACCUCGGAUCAGGUAGGGAUACCCGCUGAACUUAAGC
rnacentral:misc_RNA from 1 species